ACUUAAGUAGUUUAAAUAUAAAAUUUUGAUUUGUGGUGUCAAUGAUGUAUAUAAUACCUUAAGUU
rnacentral:tRNA from 1 species